rnacentral:rRNA from 1 species
GACGAACGCUGGCGGCGUGCUUAACACAUGCAAGUCGAACGGAAAGGCCCUGCUUUUGUGGGGUGCUCGAGUGGCGAACGGGUGAGUAACACGUGAGUAACCUGCCCUUGACUUUGGGAUAACUUCAGGAAACUGGGGCUAAUACCGGAUAGGAGCUCCUGCUGCAUGGUGGGGGUUGGAAAGUUUCGGCGGUUGGGGAUGGACUCGCGGCUUAUCAGCUUGUUGGUGGGGUAGUGGCUUACCAAGGCUUUGACGGGUAGCCGGCCUGAGAGGGUGACCGGCCACAUUGGGACUGAGAUACGGCCCAGACUCCUACGGGAGGCAGCAGUGGGGAAUAUUGCACAAUGGGCGGAAGCCUGAUGCAGCAACGCCGCGUGCGGGAUGACGGCCUUCGGGUUGUAAACCGCUUUCGCCUGUGACGAAGCGUGAGUGACGGUAAUGGGUAAAGAAGCACCGGCUAACUACGUGCCAGCAGCCGCGGUGAUACGUAGGGUGCGAGCGUUGUCCGGAUUUAUUGGGCGUAAAGGGCUCGUAGGUGGUUGAUCGCGUCGGAAGUGUAAUCUUGGGGCUUAACCCUGAGCGUGCUUUCGAUACGGGUUGACUUGAGGAAGGUAGGGGAGAAAUGGAAUUCCUGGUGGAGCGGUGGAAUGCGCAGAUAUCAGGAGGAACACCAGUGGCGAAGGCGGUUCUCUGGGCCUUUCCUGACGUUGAGGAGCGAAAGCGUGGGGAGCGAACAGGCUUAGAUACCCUGGUAGUCCACGCUGUAAACGGUGGGUACUAGGUGUGGGGUCCAUUCCACGGGUUCCGUGCCGUAGCUAACGCUUUAAGUACCCCGCCUGGGGAGUACGGCCGCAAGGCUAAAACUCAAAGGAAUUGACGGGGCCCCGCACAAGCGGCGGAGCAUGCGGAUUAAUUCGAUGCAACGCGUAGAACCUUACCUGGGUUUGACAUGGAUCGGGAGUGCUCAGAGAUGGGUGUGCCUCUUUUGGGGUCGGUUCACAGGUGGUGCAUGGCUGUCGUCAGCUCGUGUCGUGAGAUGUUGGGUUAAGUCCCGCAACGAGCGCAACCCUUGUUCACUGUUGCCAGCACGUUAUGGUGGGGACUCAGUGGAGACCGCCGGGGUCAACUCGGAGGAAGGUGGGGAUGACGUCAAGUCAUCAUGCCCCUUAUGUCCAGGGCUUCACGCAUGCUACAAUGGCUGGUACAGAGAGUGGCGAGCCUGUGAGGGUGAGCGAAUCUCGGAAAGCCGGUCUCAGUUCGGAUUGGGGUCUGCAACUCGACCUCAUGAAGUCGGAGUCGCUAGUAAUCGCAGAUCAGCAACGCUGCGGUGAAUACGUUCCCGGG